rnacentral:rRNA from 1 species
GACGAACGCUGGCGGCGUGCUUAACACAUGCAAGUCGAACGGAAAGGCCCUGCUCUUGCUGCUUGCUCGUUUGGCGAACGGGUGAGUAACACGCGAGUAACCCCUCCUUGACAUUGGGAUAACUUCAGGAAACUCGGGCUAAUACCGGAUAGGAGCUCCUGCUCCACGGUGUGGGUUGGAAAGUUUCGGCUGUUGGGGCUGGAUUCGCGGCUUACCCGCUAGUUGGGCGGGUAGUGGCUUUCCAAGGUUUUGACGGGUAGCCGGCCUGAGAGGGUGACCGGGCACAAUAGGACUGAGAUAGGGACCAGAAGCGUACGGGAGGCAGAAGUGGGGAAUAUUGCAGAACAGGGGCGAGCCUGAGGCGACAGCGUCGCGUGCGGGAUGACGGCCUUCGAGUGGAAAACCACUUUGGCAUGUGACAAGGCGUGAGUGACGGUAAUUGGUAAGGAAGCCCCGGCUAACUACGUG